UAACCGGAUUAGAUACCCUGGUAGUCCAUGCCGUAAACGUUGGGCACUAGGUGUGGGGGACAUUCCACGUUUUCCGCGCCGUAGCUAACGCAUUAAGUGCCCCGCCUGGGGAGUACGGCCGCAAGGCUAAAACUCAAAGAAAUUGACGGGGGCCCGCACAAGCGGCGGAGCAUGCGGAUUAAUUCGAUGCAACGCGAAGAACCUUACCAAGGCUUGACAUGAACCGGAAAGGCGUAGAAAUACGUCCCCCACUUGUGGUCGGUUUACAGGUGGUGCAUGGUUGUCGUCAGCUCGUGUCGUGAGAUGUUGGGUUAAGUCCCGCAACGAGCGCAACCCUCGUUCUAUGUUACCAGCACGUGAUGGUGGGGACUCAUAGGAGACUGCCGGGGUCAACUCGGAGGAAGGUGGGGAUGACGU
rnacentral:rRNA from 1 species